AGUGCUCACUUCACAUAUUACUAAAAUUAGAACGGCACAGAGAAGAUUAACAUGGCCCUUGGGUAAGGAUGGCAUGCAGAUUUGUGAACUGUUCCAUAUUUUU
ensembl:snRNA U6 U6 spliceosomal RNA